CCUACGGGAGGCAGCAGUGAGGAAUAUUGGUCAAUGGGCGCGAGCCUGAACCAGCCAAGUAGCGUGAAGGAUGACUGCCCUACGGGUUGUAAACUUCUUUUAUAAAGGAAUAAAGUGAGGCACGUGUGCCUUUUUGUAUGUAUUUUAUGAAUAAGGAUCGGCUACCUCCGUGCCAGCAGCCGCGGUAAUACGGAGGAUCCGAGCGUUAUCCGGAUUUAUUGGGUUUAAAGGGAGCGUAGGUGGGUUGGUAAGUCAGUUGUGAAAGUUUGCGGCUCAACCGUAAAAUUGCAAUUGAUACUGGCAGCCUUGAGUACAGUAGAGGUAGGCGGAAUUCGUGGUGUAGCGGUGAAAUGCUUAGAUAUCACGAAGAACUCCGAUUGCGAAGGCAGCUUACUGGACUGCAACUGACACUGAUGCUCGAAAGUGUGGGUAUCAAACAGGAUUAGAUACCCCAGUAGUC
rnacentral:rRNA from 1 species